ACACGAGGCGAGCACGGCACCGCCAAAUGCAGCAGCAGAAAGUGGAAGGAGGACUCAGAACGCUGAGACCAGAGGAGCCGCGGGCGCGCCUGCCCAGGAAGGGUGUGGCUUCCCGUCCGCUCCCCCGUGGACGGGCAGAGCUCCUGCCUCCCUAGGGAUGUUGGUUUCCAAGGGCCUCUCGCCCCUCGCACUGCACUGGAUUUUGUUCUCCUUGGGAAUUGCGGCCGCAGUCCUGCUGACUUUCCGGGGCUGUCACCCAGGAGUGCUGCAGGGGCGUGCAAGGUUGCAAAUGGAACAACGGAUAAUCACUCUGCUGAUCAUUAGUACAUGACGACCACUAGCUCAGAUCAACUGACUCUUUGCCUUUGUCCUUUUCCUGUAAGUUUUAAGUGUAAACCCCCCUUUUCAGCCCUAUAUAAAAUGGCCUCUGUUUCUUAGCUGGCCGCCUCUCUGAGCUACUUGGCUUGGGGAGUGCCGUCUGGCCAGACUAAUAAAGGUCUAUUAGCCAACUUGCCUGGUGUGUUCCUUCCUGGGUGACUCUCGCUAUCGGACAAGCUCCUGGAGCCUCGCUGAGCUGCUGAGCCCAGCAUCGUGAAGGCCUCUUGGCUGUUCACGCUCCAG
rnacentral:lncRNA from 1 species